rfam:Gossypium arboreum cultivar AKA8401 contig_5208_1, whole genome shotgun sequence.
AAGAUUUGGAAUACUUGAACAUGAUCUGUUCUAUAGGCUCGUACCUCUGUAUCCUUAAGUUCAAAGGGGACAGGAUUCCAAGUCUAGUUGAUGAAAUACGAAUGUGUGAUCUGAGCGUGAUUACUAGUCUGAUGAAGCCCUUGCUGGUUCACCUCGACCACAGAGGAUCGUUCUCAGUUUGCCUUGUGCGGCUGGGAAGGUCACGCAGUUGUCUUUUU